GCACACAACACUGUACCGGUAUGUAUAGUAUCGAGAUCCUGUUUCAGUAGCUAGUAUUCAGUUACCCUACUUCAUCGUGGCUUCGAUAAAACUCCCACAAACAAACGGAAUUUCAGAAAUUUGUGAGAAUUUGUUGAUUAUUGGCAUUAUUUUUCAGGAAUCAUCAAACCCAGCUUCGACCGACAGAGCCAAGUGAACGAGAUUGACCACUGAAGAAGGAGAGAUAAUCCUUGACCUGUUACCAUGACGACCAUGCAGCGGUUGAACCAGGAUCUGGACCAGCUGGACAGUCUCCGGGCUGGUGGGAAUUUGCCCCAGAACGGACAGUACAAGCCAGGGACCGUCUACACGCAGAAGGUCACCACCACCCAGACGUUCUUUGGGACUCAACCGAAGAAGUAUGCCCCUGUCGUGGGUCCAAAACCGCGGAAUGCCCUGCCCCCAUCGGGAUCCAAAGGUGAGUCCUAUUUGGGAGAAUUCCGGCACUGCAAAACUUGAUGCAUCUCUUUUUAGUGGUGGCCGUAAUCACGGAUUGUCCUUUUAUAUGCACUUUACACGUUCACCUGGCAAGCUGAAGAUGAUCUGAAAUAUUGAAAUGUAAAAAAAAAAAAAUUGGUAUAUUUAUUUAAACAAUACAUGUUUAAUUGUACUACAAAGUGCUGCUACCAGAAAAUGGAAUUUCCUUGAAUUGGGUUAGUAUUUAUCAUAGACCUCAAUCAUGUGUUUUCAAAGCAAAAGUUUAAUAGAGAAUUUUUUUGGCAAGUGAUUUGUAGCAUGAUGCAAAUUUCCAAUUAUUUAUUAUUUGGACAAUACUACCCUAUGAACCCCGUGAACUCUAAGAUUAAUUCUAUUUGGAUAAUUUUGUAAAUUUAUAUUUCAGAUCAUACGAGUUUGUUUUACCUGUAGACAGAUUUUUUUUAUCUGGACUAGUUAGUGGUACAAGUUUUGCACUAGAAAGGCUGCAUUUCACCUUUACAACUCUGCAAAUCCAACAUCUUGCUUGUCAAUCUGUUCAGUGUAGAAAGUUUGCACAAUACAGCAUGAGCACUUUCAUAAUUUGAUGUACAUAUUGAUAAUGAUAGUACGGUUCUUAAUACGCAUAACACCUACAGGUCUCUAUGCGUGAGGAAUGCGGGAAAUAUGGUUAGAAUUGUAGAUUUAACAAUUAGACAUCAAAUAUAUAUUAUAAACAUCAUUCUGAAAUUAAAACAUGGAUUGAACCUAACUACAUGUAAGUUAAACAUUCUGAAAGAGGUGGGUUUUUAUUGUACAUUUGUAGACUAGAAGAAUCAAGAAAGAAAUAAUCGUCAUUUGGAUACAUGUCAUGAAUUAGAUUAUAUGAAUACAAUUUAUUUAAACAAAAAUAGGGAUAAUACAAUCAAAAUUCUAAUGAUUGUAUUAAAAGGGUGUUUAAAUUUUUAUUAUUUUAUUCCUUCUUCAUAAAUUUUCUUUUGUUGUCAUUCUCCAAUUGGCUUUUACCUCAAAACCAUACUUUUUAAACUAGUGAAUUGAAAGUGAUGAUUAAAAAGGUUUGAUACCAACUAAAAGCUACCACUGUACAAAUAUCAAGGGAUUCUGGCCUUGGGAAAAGCUCAUUAAGAUAGCCCCAAGACAUUUUUUUUCCAUAGGUCAAUAAAAAAGUCAAUAUUAGAUGAGAUGAAUAUUUGUUUAAUAAUUUAAUUACAUGGUUGGACUGGAAGCAUGCAAUGACAUUGGCACGAUAUUGAUGAGUGAAGGUUUGAUCAAUGCUAUAUUUUGUUAACAUUCCUCUGUCUAAUUUCAGUGAAUACCGGUAUAAUCUAUUUUUAAAAAGUCAUGAAUUACUGUGAGAGCAUGCUUGACAGUGCUGAAAUUUUGUUAUGUGUAAUGUUAUGAAGCAUGAUCUAUCAAGCAUGUUAAUUUGUUCCUUCAGAAUAUGGAAUUUUUUUUUAUAGACCCUACAUGUACAUGUACAUGUAUAUGAUUCGCACGAUUAUGAAGAAAAAGAAGAGUUGAAACACAGAACAAAAUUUUAUGUUAAAAAAGUUUGAGCCUGAUAACAAUGAUUAAAAUUAACCCCCCC